rnacentral:rRNA from 1 species
ACUCCUACGGGAGGCAGCAGUGGGGAAUUUUCCGCAAUGGGCGAAAGCCUGACGGAGCAAUACCGCGUGCGGGACGAAGGCUUUUGGGUCGUAAACCGCUUUUGUUAGGGAAGAAUAACUGACGGUACCUAACGAAUCAGCAUCGGCUAACUCCGUGCCAGCAGCCGCGGUAAUACGGGGGAUGCAAGCGUUAUCCGGAAUUAUUGGGCGUAAAGCGUCCGCAGGUGGUUUAUCAAGUCUGCUGUCAAAGCGUGGGGCUUAACCCCAUAAAGGCAGUGGAAACUGAGAGACUAGAGUACGGUAGGGGUAGCGGGAAUUCCCAGUGUAGCGGUGAAAUGCGUAGAUAUUGGGAAGAACACCAGCGGCGAAGGCGCGCUACUGGGCCGAAACUGACACUCAUGGACGAAAGCUAGGGGAGCGAAAGGGAUUAGAUACCCCUGUAGUCCUAGCUGUAAACGAUGACAACUAGGUGUUGCGCGUAUCGACCCGUGCAGUGCCGUAGCUAACGCGUUAAGUUGUCCGCCUGGGGAGUACGCACGCAAGUGUGAAACUCAAAGGAAUUGACGGGGGCCCGCACAAGCGGUGGAGUGUGUGGUUUAAUUCGAUGCAACGCGAAGAACCUUACCAGGGCUUGACAUGUCGCGAAUCCUUGC